AUCAUUAAGAAAUGGUAUACAGGAAAAUGACCUAUGAAUUGACAGACACUAUAGCUGAGUUUGUCUGUCAUUUCUUUAGGCCAAUAUUCUGUAUGACUGUGCUACUUCAA
ensembl:miRNA